rnacentral:ncRNA from 1 species
CUCGUUCUGGGAGGCGUAGAUACGUCGGAAGUUCUCGGUCACCGAAGUCCGACGUGGAGCCAAUGGUGAGACCGACCCAAACAAG